rnacentral:rRNA from 1 species
UACGUAGGGUGCAAGCGUUGUCCGGAAUUAUUGGGCGUAAAGAGCUCGUAGGCGGUUUGUCGCGUCGGCUGUGAAAACCUGAGGCUCAACCUCAGGCCUGCAGUCGAUACGGGCAGACUAGAGUCCGGCAGGGGAGACUGGAAUUCCUGGUGUAGCGGUGAAAUGCGCAGAUAUCAGGAGGAACACCGGUGGCGAAGGCGGGUCUCUGGGCCGAUACUGACGCUGAGGAGCGAAAGCGUGGGGAGCGAACAGG